rnacentral:rRNA from 1 species
UACCAGCUCUCCGAGUGGUAGGGAUGAUUAUUGGGCUUAAAGCGUCCGUAGCCGGCUUAGCAAGUUUCCUGUUAAAUUCAGCGACCUAAUCGUUGAGCCGCGGGAAAUACUACUAGGCUAGGAGGCGGGAGAGGUCGACGGUACUUCUGGGGUAGGGGUGAAAUCCUAUAAUCCCGGGAGGACCACCAGUGGCGAAGGCUGUCGACUAGAACGCGCUCGACGGUGAGGGACGAAAGCUGGGGGAGCGAACCGGAUUAGAUACCCGGGUAGUCCCAGCUGUAAACGAUGCGGGCUAGGUGUUGGGGUGGCUACGUGCCACUUCAGUGCCGCAGGGAAGCCAUUAAGCUCGCCGCCUGGGGAGUACGGCCGCAAGGCUGAAACUUAAAGGAAUCGGCGGGGGAGCACCACAAGGCGUGAAGCUUGCGGUUC